GAUGAACGCUGGCGGCGUGCCUAAUACAUGCAAGUCGAGCGAACGGACGAGAAGCUUGCUUUUCUGAUGUUAGCGGCGGACGGGUGAGUAACACGUGGAUAACCUACCUAUAAGACUGGGAUAACUUCGGGAAACCGGAGCUAAUACCGGAUAAUAUUUUGAACCGCAUGGUUCAAAAGUGAAAGACGGUCUUGCUGUCACUUAUAGAUGGAUCCGCGCUGCAUUAGCUAGUUGGUAAGGUAACGGCUUACCAAGGCAACGAUGCAUAGCAGACCUGAGAGGGUGAUCGGCCACACUGGAACUGAGACACGGUCCAGACUCCUACGGGAGGCAGCAGUAGGGAAUCUUCCGCAAUGGGCGAAAGCCUGACGGAGCAACGCCGCGUGAGUGAUGAAGGUCUUCGGAUCGUAAAACUCUGUUAUUAGGGAAGAACAUAUGUGUAAGUAACUGUGCACAUCUUGACGGUACCUAAUCAGAAAGCCACGGCUAACUACGUG
rnacentral:rRNA from 1 species